UCAAUGCCACCCUGAACGCAUCAGGCCCAGCUGAUUUCAGAAGCAAAGCAGGUUGAGGCCUGCUUAGAACUUGGACGGAAGACCACCAGAGGAUCUCCUGAUCAGAC
rnacentral:rRNA from 1 species